UUGACAGUAGUUGUCUCACACAACACUCCUACACAAAAGAAGAGAAAAGUGGGAAAACCCUAUUUCUCCAACUCCGACAGCCACUUCUUUCCCUACCGUAGAAAUGUUACACUUCAAUUCCUAAUUGAUUUGGAAAUCGUCAUCUGACAAUUGUUCCGCCGCAAAUGAUAUUCUUUCACAGGAUGAAGCCGAGUACAGAAGCAAACUUACAUGAUGAAACCAUCGAAUAUCAUCAAUCAUCAUCCUUGGUGCAGGUACAUGCUUCUUAAUGGGGUGGCAUAUGAUAUGAUUAGGCAUGUUUCUUGAAUAGAAUAAAAGUCGAUAGUUCAAGAGGGACUGAUUCUCUCAUGCAUGUGGUUUUGCCAGAAUUGGACUUCAUCAGUCUACUUCAAUAUUACGGUAUGGGUCAACUUAAUCACUACCUUAUCCAUGAUAUUGAACUCUGCAACUAUACACCUAUUCGAUGCUUAAUAUGAUUAGUUAGGAAUAAAUAUUGCUUUGUAAUAUCUACUCUUGCAAGAUUGAAUAAUGUUUCAUCUGGUUUACUUAAAUCAUUUGUAUUGUUCACAUUAAUUUAAUACCGCUCUUAGGUUUCUUGUUCUUUCCCUCAAAAAUAAUUCUCAAACAUGAGUUGAUAGGUAAAA